GAUUUGCCGGCAGUCCCCAGUGAAGGCCGGCCUUCCGCAAUUUCCUGCCGUUUCAAUGUGAAGUGCGCAGGCACCAGAAGGUUUGCUCCACCAGGUGACACUGUCACCCAAAGUCAGAACCCGCUACAUCUCAAGGUCCCAAAAAUGUCGGCAUAGGGGCAAGAAAUGGCUGAAAAAGCAAGAAGGUUUAAGAAGAUCCAUCUGGGAGAACAUCUAGCAACUAAUUUCAGUUAAUUGAUAUCAGGUCUGUGGAAUACUUUAAAAACAAUAUUCCUCAAUGUCAAAGGCUUUUGCAAAUCUCAUCUACAGUGAAUAACAUCAUCAAAAGAUUCUGAGAAACUGGAGAUAUUUCUGUGCGUAAGGGACAAGGCCGAAGGCCUUUAUUAGCCUGUAAUCUAUGUCAUGUUAUCUAUGUUCUGUUGUGAAUAAAAUAUUGGUUCCUGUGUUUUGAAA